UACGGAGGAUCCGAGCGUUAUCCGGAUUUAUUGGGUUUAAAGGGUGCGUAGGUGGAUUGGUAAGUCAGUGGUGAAAGUUUGCAGCUUAACUGUAAAAUUGCCGUUGAAACUGCCGGUCUUGAGUGCAAAUGAGGUAGGCGGAAUGCGUCGUGUAGCGGUGAAAUGCUUAGAUAUGACGCAGAACUCCGAUUGCGAAGGCAGCUUACUGGGAUGCAACUGACGCUGAGGCACGAAAGCGUGGGUAUCAAACAGGAUUAGAUACCCCU
rnacentral:rRNA from 1 species